ensembl:lncRNA novel transcript
UCCAAUUUGAAGUGGGUACUAUGACCGAGGCAUAGUGCUUGCCAUUGUUUUACCUUGACUUCCUCACUUCGUACACCAAGGAGUCCACUCUGAUGACUCCUGUUCUGCUCUCUACCUUAUGCUGUGCUGGGCAUGCCUAUGAGCGGAAGACCCCAAUUCAUGGUCUCGAAAGCUGUGUUGGAGGACAAUGAAUGGGGAGAAUGCAGUCUUGGAAAUUUGGAAAUAGGUGGGAUCCAAAGAGCACCCCAAUAUAGCAUUUGCUUAUUGUUCAUAAAAUAGUUGUUGAAUGCAUGAAUAUAUACUUUUUGAGACUGUAGAGAUGCUUGUAGGAAGAGCAGCUGAACACCUGGCGAGGAUAGCGAUUAUUUGCAUGUGUCCAGCUGUGUGCCUGUGCCAGGGCUAAGUCUCCUAGGAAACCAGAGUAGCACCACAUUGUGAACCUGAUGUCAUGACGGUGGCAAGCAGUUUAGUUUCCUGCCUCCACCAGAGUGAGGGCAUACUUGGUGUUAGUAAAUUUCAUAAAUGU